CCUACGGGGGGCAGCAGUGAGGAAUAUUGGUCAAUGGCCGGAAGGCUGAACCAGCCAUGCCGCGUGAAGGUCAGUGCCCUAUGGGCGUUAAACUUCUUUUGUGCGGGAGCAAUAAUGGUCACGUGUGGCCAGACGAGAGUACCGUACGAAUAAGCAUCGGCUAACUCCGUGCCAGCAGCCGCGGUAAUACGGGGGAUGCAAGCGUUAUCCGGAUUUAUUGGGUUUAAAGGGUGCGUAGGCUGUGAGGUAAGUCAGCGGUGAAAUGCCCCCGCUCAACGGGGUGAAGUGCCAUUGAUACUGCCUGGCUGGAAUGCGGAUGCCGUGGGAGGAAUGUGUGGUGGAGCGGUGAAAUGCAUAGAUAUCACACAGAACACCGAUUGCGAAGGCAUCUCACGAAUCCGCGAUUGACGCUGAUGCACGAAAGCGUGGGUAUCAAACAGGAUUAGAUACCCCAGUAGUC
rnacentral:rRNA from 1 species